UUGACCAAUUCGACCUCAAAUCAGGCAGGACUACCC
rnacentral:rRNA from 1 species